ensembl:piRNA 21ur-1664 ncRNA
UUCUACUGUUACAGUGAGAUA